rnacentral:rRNA from 1 species
UACGAAGGGGGCAAGCGUUGUUCGGAAUUACUGGGCGUAAAGGGCGCGUAGGUGGCCUGAUAAGUAGGGGGUGAAAUCUCGAGGCUCAACUUCGAGGCUGCCUCCUAAACUGUCAGGCUUGAGCAGAGUAGAGGCAGGUGGAAUUCCCGGUGUAGCGGUGGAAUGCGUAGAGAUCGGGAAGAACAUCGGUGGCGAAGGCGGCCUGCUGGGCUCUUGCUGACACUGAGGCGCGACGAGCGUGGGGAGCAACAGG